UACGUAGGGUGCGAGCGUUACUCGGAAUUACUGGGCGUAAAGCGUGCGCAGGCGGUUUUGUAAGACAGAUGUGAAAUCCCCGGGCUCAACCUGGGAACUGCGUUUGUGACUGCAAGACUCGAGUGCGGCAGAGGGGGGUGGAAUUCCACGUGUAGCAGUGAAAUGCGUAGAGAUGUGGAGGAACACCGAUGGCGAAGGCAGCCCCCUGGGUCGACACUGACGCUCAUGCACGAAAGCGUGGGGAGCAAAAGGG
rnacentral:rRNA from 1 species